CAGAGAACUUACCAGACAUGCUUUUGUGAUGCUUCGGGAACUCUGAGACAGGUGCUGNAUGGCUGUCGUCAGCUCGUGUUGUGAAAUGUUGGGUUAAGUCCCGCAACGGAAGGCGGCCAACCCUUUAUCCUUUGUUGCCAGCGGUCCGGCCGGGAACUCAAAGGAGACUGCCAGUGAUAAACUGGAGGAAGGUGGGGAUGACGUCAAGUCAUCAUGGCCCUUACGAGUAGGGCUACACACGUGCUACAAUGGCGCAUACAAAGAGAAGCGACCUCGCGAGAGCAAGCGGACCUCAUAAAGUGCGUCGUAGUCCGGAUUGGAGUCUGCAACUCGACUCCAUGAAGUCGGAAUCGCUAGUAAUCGUAGAUCAGAAUGCUACGGUGAAUACGUUCCCGGGUCUUGUAC
rnacentral:rRNA from 1 species